rnacentral:misc_RNA from 1 species
GAGAAUUUUUGGCCAAUCAACCUGGCCAAUGUUUCCUGUAAGAUCGUGUCCAAGGUCCUGGCCAAUCGCCUCUGGGCGGUCAUUAGUGACCUGACCUAUGAAUCUCAGUCUGCUUUCAUUCCCGGUCGAUAGAUCCUGGAUUCUGUAUCCCUGGUGGAGGAAGACAUUUGUCAUGUACAGGGGAGAGAGAGAGAGGAGAAUAUGGCUAUAAAGAUCGACUUCAGGCGGGCAUUUGACUCACUUGACUGGGAUUUCUUUUUCGACUGCCUCCGCGCCAAGGGCUUCAGCGACCAAUGGAUCGAGUGGGUGCACACUUAUUUGAGCU